rnacentral:rRNA from 1 species
UGGGGAAUAUUGCACAAUGGGCGCAAGCCUGAUGCAGCCAUGCCGCGUGUGUGAAGAAGGCCUUCGGGUUGUAAAGCACUUUCAUCCGGGAGGAAGUCGCUGAGGCUAAUAACCUCAUCGAUUGACGUUACCCGCAGACUAAGCACCGGCUAACUCCGUGCCAGCAGCCGCGGUAAUACGGAGGGUGCAAGCGUUAAUCGGAAUUACUGGGCGUAAAGCGCACGCAGGCGGUCUGUCAAGUCGGAUGUGAAAUCCCCGGGCUCAACCUGGGAACUGCAUUGGAAACUGGCAGGCUAGAGUCUUGUAGAGGGGGGUAGAAUUCCAGGUGUAGCAGUGAAAUGCGUAGAGAUCUGGAGGAAUACCGGUGGCGAAGGCGGCCCCCUGGAAAAAGACUGACGCUCAGGUGCGAAAGCGGGGGGAGCAAACAGG